UUUGUUGAGGGCUACAGUUGGACUUGCAUCCUCAAAAACUAUGUCUACAGGUGGCUCUGGUACAUCAAUUGAGUACAAAUGUGCAUCUUCUGUUAAUCCACCAAUUGAAGUGCCAAUUGCGUUGUUACGAUUCCUAUCGUCGGUAAAUCUUCAACCGUCAAUAAAGGAGACGAUGCAUCCUAUUUAGUAAUGAGGUUGAGGGUUAAAGGGCCCAUUGUUGGAGUACUGACUCCAACUAAUGUAGAGCGUCGAUUAUCCUUGACUCGUUUUAGAGAGAAGUAUAUUUACAGUCAUCCAACAAUUACAAAUAUUAAUUAUUUAUACUUUGUACUAUCUAAUGAUUCAAUUCAUUAUGUUACAAUACUUGUGCAAAGAUUGGAGUGACUACGACAAUAACAACAAUAUUAAAGAGUCACUUUAGUGGUCCGCCGCCUACUCGGAGGCAAGUUCCAAACGAUGUGAAGGAACUUAUUCAAAGUAUUAAUUGUAAUGACCAUAUCGAUUUGUUAUACUUUAUUUACUUUAAUACAUAAUGUGUUCUUGAAGGAUAUUUUUACGUGGGCCUAUACAAAUGCUUCAAUGGUCUAAAAAAUUGGGAAAAAAUUUAUAAAGACCACUUGAAAGAUUUGUUAUGGGGUGAGCACAGAAUAACUAUGGACCAAGUCGAUGUAAAUAACACCCUCCAAUGAAAGGGAAGCUUAGACCAUGGAUCACGACUGAAGUUUGAAUGACUUUUUUGAUAAUGUGUGGGCCACUGAGAAUUGAUGGAAUCGAUCGUAGAAGCCCAAGGUGAACGAUUUGAUAGAGAAGGAAGGAAGCAUUAUAGAACUCACAUAAGUCAGAGGCAAUAGACUGACUGGUGACAUUCUUCGAUUUUUUCAACCACACCUACAAGCAACUAGCGGGUUGUAGUGAUUUUGUAGAUAACAUGUCAAAGAUUAUAAAUGAAAUCUAUGCUUCUACGUUAUCAAGAAGCAUGGUGAAUGCUCCUUGCCUCAACUGGACUUUGAUCUGCAAGCAUUGUCUCAAGCCUUUGGAGGGGUGCAGACCACCCGCACCCAUGUUUACGAAUUUGGCGCAAGAGUGCGAGCUGCAUCAUUACUUGAUGCAGUUAGCAUGGGUGCUCCAACGUCCGAGUUUGCGGGCUAGCCAGACACUAAUAAGGACGUAGAGACUCUGAAGCGAGGUGUCACUACAGUCAAGACCUCCAUUCUACGAAUUUGGCACAAGCGAGAUGCCAGCUGCAUCACUAUUGCAUAGUUGUUGUAAUACGUCAAAGGAAACACCUUCAGUUAAUCAUCAAAGCAAACAGGUCCAUCUAAUACCGAAAAUUUUGCAUCGAACAAUGAUGGCACGUUUAGCUUUUAGGA